AGCAGCCGCGGUAAUUCCAGCUCCAAUAGCGUAUAUUAAAGUUGUUGCAGUUAAAAAGCUCGUAGUUGAAUUUCGGGACCAAGGAAUCGGUCAUGCCUCGGUAUGUACUGGUUUUAUUGGUUCUCACCUUCUAAAGAACCAUAAUGUCAUUUAUUUGAUGUUAUGGGGAAUUAGGACUGUUACCUUGAAAAAAUUAGAGUGUUUAAAGCAAGCUUACGCUUGAAUACAUUAGCAUGGAAUAAUGAAAUAGGACAUCCGAUUCUAUUUUGUUGGUUUCUAGGAUCGAUGUAAUGAUUAAUAGGGAUAGUUGGGGGCAUUAGUAUUCAAUUGUCAGAGGUGAAAUUCUUGGAUUUAUUGAAGACUAACUACUGCGAAAGCAUUUGC
rnacentral:rRNA from 1 species